rnacentral:rRNA from 1 species
CACGUAGGGUGCGAGCGUUGUCCGGAAUUAUUGGGCGUAAAGAGCUCGUAGGCGGUGUGUCGCGUCGGCCGUGAAAACCUGCAGCUUAACUGUGGGCUUGCGGUCGAUACGGGCAUCACUGGAGUUCGGCAGGGGAGACUGGAAUUCCUGGUGUAGCGGUGAAAUGCGCAGAUAUCAGGAGGAACACCGGUGGCGAAGGCGGGUCUCUGGGCCGAUACUGACACUGAGGAGCGAAAGCGUGGGGAGCAAACAGG